rnacentral:rRNA from 1 species
ACUGUGGGGGCAACUCUGCAGUUUAGUGGCGGACGGGUGAGUAACACGUGGGUAACCUGCCCGGAAGUGGGGAAUACCUCGGGGAAACUCGAGCUAAUACCGCAUGACAUCUUUGGGACGAGAGUCCUGACGAUCAAAGCGGGGUCGCAAGAUCUCGCGCUACCGGAUGGGCCCGCGCCCGAUUAGCUAGUUGGCGAGGUAAUGGCUCACCAAGGCUUCGAUCGGUAACCGGCCUGAGAGGGCGAUCGGUCACACCGGAACUGAGACACGGUCCGGACUCCUACGGGAGGCAGCAGUGGGGAAUCUUGCGCAAUGGGCGAAAGCCUGACGCAGCAACGCCGCGUGGAGGAUGAAGGCCCUUGGGUUGUAAACUCCUGUCGGUUGGGAAGAAAUCUUACGGGGUUAAUACCUCCGUAAGUUGACUGUACCAGCAAAGGAAGCCCCGGCUAACUCUGUGCCAGCAGCCGCGGUAAUACAGAGGGGGCCAGCGUUAUUCGGAAUUAUUGGGCGUAAAGGGCGCGUAGGCGGCCAUGCGUGUCUUUCGUGAAAUCCCUCGGCUUAACUGAGGACGUGCGGAAGAAACUGCAAGGCUUGAGUCCGGGAGAGGGGGGUGGAAUUCCCAGUGUAGCGGUGAAAUGCGUAGAUAUUGGGAGGAACACCGGUGGCGAAGGCGGCCCCCUGGACCGGUACUGACGCUGAGGCGCGAAAGCGUGGGUAGCAAACGGGAUUAGAUACCCCGGUAGUCCACGCCGUAAACGAUGGGCACUUGGUGUCGCGGGUAUCGACCCCUGCGGUGCCGAAGCUAACGCAUUAAGUG